rnacentral:rRNA from 1 species
UAGGGUCAAGCAAUGAAGCGCACACGGUGGAUGCCUAGGCAGUCAGAGGCGAUGAAAGACGUGGUAGCCUGCGAUAAGGUUCGGUGAGGUGGCAACAACCUGUGACCCGGACAUCUCUGAAUGGGGAAACCCACUCAUCAGCAGAUGAGUAUCUUACGCUGAAUAUAUAGGCGUAAGAGGCGAACCAGGGGAACUGAAACAUCUAAGUACCCUGAGGAAAAGAAAUCAACCGAGAUUCCCCUAGUAGCGGCGAGCGAACGGGGACCAGCCCUUAAGCAUGCAACGGAUUAGACGAACGUGCUGGGAAGCACGGCCGUAGCGGGUGAUAGCCCCGUAGUCGAAAAUCUGCGUAUGUGAAAUCGAGUAGGUCGGGGCACGAGAAACCUUGACUGAAGACGGGGGGACCAUCCUCCAAGGCUAAAUACUCCUGACUGACCGAUAGUGAACCAGUACCGUGAGGGAAAGGCGAAAAGAACCCCGGAGAGGGGAGUGAAAUAGAUCCUGAAACCGUGUGCGUACAAGCAGUAGGAGCAGACUUGUUCUGUGACUGCGUACCUUUUGUAUAAUGGGUCAGCGACUUAUAUUCAGUGGCGAGGUUAACCGUAUAGGGGAGCCGUAGGGAAACCGAGUCUUAACUGGGCGACACAGUCGCUGGAUAUAGACCCGAAACCGAGCGAUCUAUCCAUGAGCAGGGUGAAGGUUGAGUAACAUCAACUGGAGGCCCGAACCAGGAUCUGUUGAAAAAGAUUUGGAUGACUUGUGGAUCGGAGUGAAAGGCUAAUCAAGCUCGGAGAUAGCUGGUUCUCCUCGAAAGCUAUUUAGGUAGCGCCUCACGUAUCACCGCCGGGGGUAGAGCACUGUUUCGGCUAGGGGGUCAUCCCGACUUACCAACCCGAGGCAAACUCCGAAUACCGGUGAGUGCAAGCGUGGGAGACACACGGCGGGUGCUAACGUCCGUCGUGAAAAGGGAAACAACCCAGACCGUCAGCUAAGGUCCCCAAAUCCUGGUUAAGUGGGAAACGAUGUGGGAAGGCUCAGACAGCUAGGAGGUUGGCUUAGAAGCAGCCAUCCUUUAAAGAAAGCGUAAUAGCUCACUAGUCGA